rnacentral:lncRNA from 1 species
GACCUUCGCAAAGCGAUGGAAGAAGCUUCGAAGGGACUCUCCCAGCCUUUGUUCCACGGCGUAAAGCUCGUGAGCUUGCACGGGUUCCUUGAAAUUUCCCUAGAAGUUGACGAUGAAGACCUCCUGGAGGCGCUCCCACGAAUGCACGGAAUUCUUCCGCAGGUUAUAAAACCAAGUUUGCACCAUCCCGGUGAGCAUGAGCUGAUAGCCUCGAGGGUGUCCCGAUCUUUCGAUGAGAUACCUAAUUAUCGAUUUGGUAGGAGGUGACGUUGACGAUCCGAUUACAACCUAAGAGGCAGCGCCUUAGCGAUCGAUACACCAACUCCAGAAGGCUAUUGAUCCUGUGGGGGCACGAUCAACCUGACCACGAAGGUCUUUGUUCCUGCAAGAACAAGCCCUCCGAAGAUUAAUAUAUCGAUGCCUCGAGGCAAACAAACCUAGAUGUAGAAUCUGUGGAGCUUGGAGGCUUAUGUGAGUAGCAAGAAAAAGCGAAUAAUCAAAUCAGCAAUGCAAAGUUGAAAAUAUGCUAAAAAAUGCUAGUCCUAGCUGCUGGAGUCGAUAAGAACGAAUUACAGAAAUUAACUAAGCGUAGAUACUGAAAAAGGUAGAAAGGAAAGAUCAAAUGAAAGGUAAAACAACUAAAUCUCUGGGGAAUAUUUUUUUCUAUUUUUUUUUCUUUUUGUGGCCUUCUAUUUGGCUUAUUAUUCUUUUCUCUUUUUUUUUCUUUUUUUUAAUCCCCAGAAACUCACGCAAAAGAAGUUAAGACCGGAAACCUGUACGUCGGUCUGUAGGAGAAUAGCAAAGGCUGUAGUAAGGAAAACUCAGAAAAAUAUGAGAAAAUAUGGGUUAGCAGCGUAUCAAAACAAGCUUUCCAACAAGUGCAAGAUCACUCGAAACCGAGGUCGGAUGGUGGAGAAAACUGAGAUAUACUGCGCUGCCCCGGUGCCGAAAAACGGGUGCAGAAAUUUCGGCGCUCGAAAAGUCCACAUUAGAGGCCGAAUUUGAGGGUCAGGGAGCCGAUAAUUUUAGAGGAUGCGCCUCGUCGAGAGCUUUCCGAAAAGUCCUAGAACAUCCAAAUCCGACUUCGUAUGCAAAAGAUACGCCCGUUUUAGUGAACACGGGUCAAACCCACCCGAAACGCGAAUUCUACUUGGACUUGGGUCCGAAACUGACUCGAACUCUUUCUCUUUUUUCUUCGUUUUUUUUCCUUUCUUUCCUUUUUUUUCUUUCCCUUCUAUUUUUUUCACAACUUUCCGAACAACUUGAUCUCUAAACAAAAUUUGAUCUAUUAUGAAACACUUUCCAAAGGCACUCUUGAUUGGACUCGGACUCGAACUCGCGGCUGAAAACUAUAACUUGCCGACUCGAUGUAGGAUUCGAUGAGGGACUCGGUGUAGAACUCGAAGAGGGACUCGGUGGAAGAAAUGGUGGCGGCAGAAGAUUAUCGCGGUGGUGUGGCAGGAAGUUUGGUGGCAGAAGAUUGAUGGAAAGCCUGUGUCACACGAAAUCAAAAGACAAAAACAAGUUCGAUCUAGUAGAAAAAAUAUGAAAAAGAUCCAAUCUAAUCCAGCAACUCGACACGAUUAAUGCAGCAAAGAUUCAACAAUGCAAAACUAAUGUGAAAAUUGCAAGGCUCAGAUUGGUUCUAGGACAAGGUAACUAAUCUAAAUUUUUUUUUUUGGCUUUUACUAGACGAUAGGUAAAAAAUAGAUCUAAACUACGGAUAAAUUGUAAGAUCUCACCGAGCAACCUUAAGCUCUAAUACCACGUGAUAUCCUCGAGGGUGUCCCGAUCUUUCGAUGAGAUACCUAAUUAUCGAUUUGGUAGAAGGUGACGUUGACGAUCCGACUACAACCUAGGAGGCAGCGCCUUAGCGAUCGAUACACCAACUCCAGAAGGUUAUUGAUCCUGUGGGGGCACGAUCAACCUGACCACGAAGGUCUUUGUUCCUGCAAGCAAUCGAAGAACAAGCAAGAACAAGAUGAAAAACAAUCUGAAAUUGCGAAUAGGAGAUAUGAAGGUUCACGAAUAUGAAUACUCAAUAUAGUUGGAGUCUUGAUGACGGUAAAACAGGUGGUCUAACCGACACACGUGAUUACACGAAAGUAGCAAAGGCUAAACUUUAUCUAAUCAAAACCCAAGGCUCCAUAGUGGGGCUCAUGGGGUAUAAAUAGGAGGGGAACUAGGUGGUUUUCGGCCAGGCCCUUGAGGGACUCCGAAACGGCCUAGGAAUCCUUCUAAAACACAACGAAAACAUCUAAAAAUUGGCUGGACCCUAUUACAUGGCCUUAGGCCCAAUAAAGCAAGGUUAUAACCCUCAUCUUUG